AUGCGUACAGAGGUUAUCAAGGCGGACACCAUUGAUGUGGCCGUCGAAAGGAUUCUCGUUGAACUUGGGAAACACACUACAAGCAGCAGAGAGAAUGCCAUCUAUUUUGAUGGCUGGGAUGGUCUUGGGGCAUCUUCCGUCCUGCAAGCCGUAGCCAAACGCCUUGAAGUAUCAAAUGAGCUGUCAAAGAGGCCUGCAGGGCUAGAGUUUGAGAAAAUCAUCCACAUUGACUGCUCAAAGUGGAAGAGCAGAAGAGCAAUGCAGAGGGAAAUAGCAGAGCAGCUGAACCUUCCCAACUGGGUGAUGGAGAUAUUUGACAAGCAAGAUGAGGAGGAUGAUUUCAAUGGAUUAGAUGAAGGCUCUCGAACUGAGAUAGCACAAGUUGUCAGAGAGAUCUAUCAAAGAACACAGAAUCAGAGAUUCUUGGUGAUCCUGCACAAUGGAAGCAGUGAGGAGAUUGAUAUAUUCGACUUCGGUCUUUCUUUAGAUCGAUAUUCUAGUAGCAAGAUGUUGUGGACUUUCCAAGGGAGGUUUCGGCUUGAUCCCAAGAUGAUAGACAGUGUGAAGAAGAGCACAACAACAGGUGUUCUUCUUUCAGCUUCAGGAGAUAGGCAAGAUCCACGGGAGCUUUGGUCAUAUCUAGUGAGCCACGAGGCUGCACAAGUUUCCAGCAAUAAGUAUGGCCAUGUCAUCAUCGAUCCAGCUAUUGCUGCUCAGUGCGUCUUGUAUAUGUUGAAGCAAUCUUGGAUUGGCUCUCGCAUCAUUGACUAUGACAGGGCUAUCCACACCAGUAACUAUUGGAUAUGCGAUGGCAUCAUUGCACUGACAGACAUUGACAGAGCAUGGAGAGUUGGUGAUGUUUUGCAGCAUGAGAUGCCAUUCUUGAACAUUGACACCCAUCUCAAGAAUGAUGAAUCAGCAGGAAUGGCUUCCUAUCACCUGGCAAAGUCUGCUGAGCACAUGCCGUACUGGAUAUCGACAACAACUUCAACUUCCGGAUUUGUAGUGAGCCCCUCCGGUGUAAUUCCUGAGAAUAUGUUUUCGCACUCGCACAUGCUCGGCGUGCUCAAGCUCUCAAGGUGUGCCUUCAGUUUCUCAUCGCCUCCAUUCCUCUGUUGCCACAGCCUGAGAUUCCUGUGGCUUGAACAUUGCCGAGACCUCGUAACAGGGAGAAGUACAACAGAUCAUCACCAUACAGAGGCAAACAAGGAGUUGGGCAACCGGACCACGACAUCGUGGGAAUGCUUCCAGAGCUUGUGGGUGCUUGACCUGCGCUACACAGGUUGGGAUCAGAUCUGGUCCACAAGGGUGAUGGAUCUAAUGACCCAGCUCAGGGAGCUAAACGUGAUGGGAGCUGAAAACUGGGACAUGAGCCAUUUGCGAGGACGGCUGCGUAACAUUCGCAAGUUCCGGGUAACAAAGUCCACGUGCUUCUUCAGUGACAACAUGCUCUCGGAGAUGGAAAAUAUGGAGCUUCUUGAUUUUCCGGGAAACAUCAUCAGACAAGGCAUGGCAAGCAACAGUAGCCUCAAGACCGUGAUUAUUGAUGAAUUUGAUGGUUUAAAAAAAUCUUUUAAGGGCAAUAUGGAAUUGAAGAACUUGUACAUGAAAAGAAUUUCGAGGGGUCUCGAGGAGCUGGACCUGUCGGAUACAAGUGUGAAAACUCUUGACCUCAGAGGAGUGGAAGCCAAAUCACUCCCUAAGCGGAUUAUCCUGCUAGGCUGCGAGAAGCUUGGCACAAUUGUAUGGGCACUGCGUGUGACAGAUGGAUGGUGGCCGGAAGUGCUGCACAUUGACACCACCUCAACAUUAACAUCAGCUUUUUUUUCUUUGCGAACAACAUUAACAUCAGCUUACGCAGGGGAGGCACCACUUGCACUUCCACAUGCUGAUCGAUCCCUCCAACAGUAUAAAGAAGAAACGUUUAAGGGUGGAUGGCGGAUUACUCUUACAGAAACAAGGCUUCUUAGGUCGCUUGCUUCUGUAAGAAAUUUUUUAAAACAUGCAUCCGUACACAUUGAUAUUUGUCCUGCAGCUACUGUUGGUGGUAGCUACGCCCAAGGAAUGAAUGGCAACAAACUAGUGCAGGCCCAACCACAAACAAGUACCAUCGUGAGCUCUGAGUACGUCUUGAAGACUGGCCCAGUUGAAGUGAUGAUUAUAUGA
rnacentral:rRNA from 1 species